rnacentral:lncRNA from 1 species
CUCAAGUCAACUGAGGAGCCUAUACAGUGAGUUCUAACUACUCUUUUCUUUACCAAACGUUUCACCCUUCUUCUCGUUCUUUGGGUUUGGCUCCGAUCUGUGUUAUUGCUCAAGUUUGGGAGAGUUGGGUGCCGUUGAAGGUUAUAGUCUUCAUGUGGCAAGCUCUACAUGGAAGGGUUCCAACUAGAGCGAAUUUAGCUCAUCGUGGGAUUAUUCCGAACGGGGAGGCAGCCGUGUGUGUGGGGUGUGUCGGGCUGAAACAAGAUCCCAACCCAGAUCCAUCACGAAGACCCAACAACCCGACGAAGAACUUCAGCAGGACGACUGAGAGCCGAGAGAAACAAAAAAUGGAGCAAAGAGAACUGACCACCAAUACCCGAAAAACAAACAAUAACAGCGGCGCCAAACUGAACCAUGGUGGUGCGGAAGGCCGCACUACUCAUAUAUCGCAUCACUAGAGGAAGAAGCUACAUCUUGAUGACAUAAUUUGGAUAAGGGGGAAGGGGCGGCGCGAUCUGUUAGUGAGAAGA